CUUCCAUCCAAUCAGAGAGCAGAAACAGAACCGUGUAACCCAGACGACCAGUCAAAUUUCAGAAGAGCUGAUAAUUGAAGUGAACGGUUCACAUAUACCCCAUCUGUUCAAAUAAACUUUGAUACACUGUUCUGUGAAUAAGGAAGACAUGAACAGAGAUCAGAAAAGCAUCUGAUGCGGAGAGCAGAAUAUAUAUCUGGCCAGUGCUUUGCAUAAUUUAUUUGAUUGCCAUAGGAGUCACCGUCAUCAUCUUGACAUACAAGAAAAGCAAAGGGAAUAAACCAAUGAGUGGCAGCACGCCCUGCACUCCUGCGGAGAGAAAGAAUUUGAACCAAGAUGGAGGAGAUAGACACCAGCACCAGCCAACACCUAAGAGCCAGCAGAGUGUUUCCUAUCAAAAUGAGCGGCAAACCCCAGGAACUUCUCAGCGCAAGAGAACCCCAUUUUCAAAAUCAAAGGACAGUCAAAGAGAGACACUGGUACCCAGAGCAAUG